rfam:Triticum aestivum genome assembly, contig: Triticum_aestivum_CS42_TGACv1_scaffold_374396_5AL
UAAAUACUCUAUCCGUCUUAAAAUUCUUGCUUAAAUUAGUCUAGAUACGGAUGUAUCUAAUACUAAAAUGUGACUUGAUACAUCUGUAUUUAGACAAAUCUAAGACAAGAAUUUUGGGACGGAGGGUAUAAA